UGGCAUGAUCAUCAUGGUUGAAGCUGUGCCCAAAGCCUGGCCCUUGGCCUGAGGGGAAGUUGAGACAAUCAGCAGUAUUGGGAGAUGAGGCAAAGGUGUUCGUGGGGGCUCUCAGGCAGUGGGAACAACGAUGUGAGCCUUCACAGGGUUGCUCUAGCUUUGCUCCCUGGGAAGCAGGCUCUGAGAUGAAGAUCAGCAUGCAGGACUUUUGGGAGGGAGUGCUCUUGGAAUCAACUCCUAUAGGAGAGGAAAGAAAGAAAGGAUGCAGAAUUGGGAGGAGAAAAGUGGAGCUGUGAUUCAUUCCCAACAGAAGCCUCAGCCAAUCCCGCAGGAAGUUCUGAAGAUGGGAUGGUCCUUCACCUGAUCUGGUGCUGG
rnacentral:lncRNA from 1 species